GGCGGCUUAAGGAUGUUUUGUUUUUACUGCAAUCGUGGAAAAGAUUCACGUCACUAGUUGUAAGAUUGUGCUGUACGUUGGAGCAGCAGACCCAGUGUGUGCGGCCGGUAUGUAAAAUCUGAAUGAAGCGCUGUCCAUCUGCCUUUGAAAAACCACCAAGAGGUCCAAAUGUAGUGUUCUUUGUAGACCUGCUAGGAUGUAAGCUGGWCAUGCAAGUUCUACUAUGAAGAUGCUAGGAUCCAAGCAGGUGAAUUAUAUCAUCAUGGUUAGAUUCCAUAGCGGAGCUCCCGCGCGGGCCGAAUUGGGUCAAAUGAGAGUUCUAGCAUUGGUGAAGGCAGAAGACUUGCGAUUCAUCAAACUUAUAUUCUUGUGAAAAAUCAAUGAAYAAAUAUAAUUUUUUCUGCUU